rnacentral:lncRNA from 1 species
UUUUUAAGAAAAAGGGAAAGGGUUUUGAUGCUCUGGGCAUGGACGAUUUCCGGCGAUCGGACCACCGUCCGUCCGUCAUCGACGACCGCCGUAUGCGGCGGCCGGAAGCGCAAAAUCGACCUCUUUUUAACCCUUUUGUUCGCCUUACCCUAGAUCCGUAGUUGAAGUGCCCAAAAACCUCAACAAAGCCGACGAAAAUCAAGAGAAACUUCUCGGUUCUACUCUCCAAUCGCCCAAGCAAGGUAACAUUUGAUAUCUUUUAUAUAUUUAUCUAAGGAUAAUAGAAAUAAAGAGGAAAAGGAAUAAGGAAAAUCACCUUUCUAUUAUUUGAUUGCUUCUUAAUAUUUGUUGUUUUUGUAUUGAUUUGUUUUUUUUUUCAAUAUUCGAAAAAAACCAACCCCUUUACAAUGGUUUCCAUUCGGCUUUUAUAGCCAUUACAACUUGUUUCAUUUUUUAUAUUUACUGUAUUUUCCUUCCUUUUGCAAAUGCAAGUGGAGCGAUGGCAGAGGGCAGGUGACCGGUGCUGGUGGCGGUUGGUGGCCUUGGCAGAGGCAAGUGAGGAGGGUGGUUGCGUCGCCGCUUUAGGGGCUAGGGUUAGGUAAAGAGAGGCUAGGGUUUUUUUGUUAGGGUUUUGGGCUAGGUAUUGGGCUAAGGUUAGUUUUGGGUUAGUGGGCUGUUGGGUAGGUUUAGUUGGGUUUUGAUGUAAUUGGGGUUUGGGUAAAGGUUGGCUGAUGGAUUGUUUAAGGCCCGGAUAAUUUGGGCUUCUACAAUAGUUAUAUAUAUAUUUAUAUUAAAUCAUUAACUAAAUAAUAAUUAAACCCAUUAUCCAAAAGCUAAAAAAAGACUUACCCAACUGAUAACCC